AAAAUCCGGGGGGCUGAGCUGAGGCGUGAUGACGAGGAACCACGGUUCCGAAGUGAUUGAUACCAAGCUUCCAGGAAAAGCCACUAAGCUUCAGUCUAGAGUUGACCGUACCGCAAACCGACACAGGUGGGCAGGAUGAAAAUUCUAAGGCGCUUGAGAGAACUCAGGAGAAGGAACUCGGCAAAUUAACACCGUAACUUCGGGAGAAGGUGUGCCCCGGUAGCGUGUAGAGACUUGCUCUCGAAGCGCGAUGGGGUUGCAGUGAAAUGGUGGCUGCGACUGUUUAAUAAAAACACAGCACUCUGCAAACACGAAAGUGGACGUAUAGGGUGUGACGCCUGCCCGGUGCCGGAAGGUUAAGUGAUGGGGUGCAAGCUCUUGAUCGAAGCCCCGGUAAACGGCGGCCGUAACAAUAACGGUCCUAAGGUAGCGAAAUUCCUUGUCGGGUAAGUUCCGACCUGCACGAAUGGCGUAACGAUGGCCACACUGUCUCCUCCUGGGACUCAGCGAAGUUGAAAUGUUUGUGAAGAUGCAAUCUACCCGCGGCUAGACGGAAAGACCCCAUGAACCUUUACUGUAGCUUUGCAUUGGACUUUGAACCGGUUUGUGUAGGAUAGGUGGGAGACUGUGAAGCCGGGACGCUAGUUUCGGUGGAGUCAACCUUGAAAUACCACCCUGAUUUGUUUGAGGUUCUAACCUUGGUCCGUGAAUCCGGAUCGGGGACCGUGCAUGGUAGGCAGUUUGACUGGGGCGGUCUCCUCCCAAAAGGUAACGGAGGAGUACGAAGGUACGCUUAGGGCGGUCGGACAUCGCCCACAAAGUGCAAUGGCAAAAGCGUGCUUGACUGCGAGACCCACAAGUCGAGCAGGUACGAAAGUAGGUCAUAGUGAUCCGGUGGUUCUGUAUGGAAGGGCCAUCGCUCAACGGAUAAAAGGUACUCUGGGGAUAACAGGCUAAUUCCUCCCAAGAGUUCAUAUCGACGGGGGAGUUUGGCACCUCGAUGUCGGCUCAUCACAUCCUGGGGCUGUAGUCGGUCCCAAGGGUAUGGCUGUUCGCCAUUUAAAGUGGUACGCGAGCUGGGUUUAAGACGUCGUGAGACAGUUUGGUCCCUAUCUGCCGUGGGAGCUGGAAAUUUGAAGGGGGCUGCUCCUAGUACGAGAGGACCGGAGUGGACGAACCUCUGGUGUACCGGUUAUGACGCCAGUCGUAUCGCCGGGUAGCUAAGUUCGGAAGAGAUAAACGCUGAAAGCAUCUAAGCGUGAAACUCGCCUUAAGAUGAGAUUUCCCGGAGUCUUGAACUCCCUGAAGGGUCGUCGAAGACCACGACGUUGAUAGGUCAGGUGUGGAAGCGCAGCAAUGCGUUAAGCUAACUGAUACUAAUUGCCCGUGCGGCUUGAUCCC
rnacentral:rRNA from 1 species